AGGGGUGGCAGAUGCUUAAGUACAUGCAGGCUGUGAAGGGAGAUGUAAAUAAGAUAUUGUUAUUAGGACUAUCCCUGAUAAGAAAGGCAUGUCCUCUGCACCUCCAAUCCUGGGCCACUGCUAUGCAUCCCCACUUAGAUGACCGACUGCAGUCGCUCAGAGCAACUGUAGAGGAUGGCAAGGAAUCAACCUAUUUGGAUGAAGACGUUUUGUGGGCGGGCAGAGAAGAAAACUCUUGAGAGAAGGAAGCAUUGCCAGGGGCAUGGGAGCCUACAUCUGCUGGUGCCUCAGUCCCAUCUUUGACCA
rnacentral:lncRNA from 1 species